rnacentral:rRNA from 1 species
GACGAACGCUGGCGGCGUGCUUAACACAUGCAAGUCGAACGGAAAGGCCCUGCUUGCAGGGUACUCGAGUGGCGCACGGGUGAGUAACACGUGGGUGAUCUGCCCUGCACUUCGGGAUAAGCCUGGGAAACUGGGUCUAAUACAGGAUAGGAGCCAUUUUUAGUGUGAUGGUUGGAAAGUAUUUUCGGUGUAGGAUGAGCUCGCGGCCUAUCAGCUUGUUGGUGGGGUUAUGGCCUACCAAGGCGGCGACGGGUAGCCGGCCUGAGGGGGUGGACGGCCACCUUGGGACUGAGAUUCGGCCCAGACCCCUACGGGAGGCAGCAGUGGGGGAUUUUGCACAAUGGGCGCGAGCCUGAUGCCGCGACGCCGGCUGGGGGAUGACGGCCUUCGGGUUGGUAACUCCUUUCGCUAGGGACGAAGCUGUUUGUGACGGUACCUAGAUAAGAAGCACCGGCUAACUACGUG